AAUAUUUCUGUCUCACACACACACUUUUUGUAUAUGAACAGAGGAGGAAGAGGAGGAGGAGGAGCAGCCACAGGAGGAGGGGAGGCAGGAGGCGGGGGCAGGGGAGGAGCAACACACGGCCGUGCCUCUGUCGCCGGCCGUGCAGGAGUGUGUGGACAAUCUGAUGAAUUACCCGGGAAUUUUUGAUCCCAUAGCCACGGCCACCAGGAGGAAAGAGAGGGGGCCACGCUCAUGGGAGUUCCUGAUGCGCCUUCUGAGCAUUCCCUCACCCCUGCGCGUGUCAAUCAUUCAGUGGGAGAGCAAGGAGGCGCACACCUUUCGCCUCGUCAGUCCUGAAGGGGUUGCCCGCCUCUGGUUUAGCAGAAAGCUACAGGAUAGAAACAAGGGCUACAAUAAUUUUGCGAGGUGCCUAAGGUACCACUACAAGACCCGGGCGCUCAUACAAGUGCCAGAUCGCCAGCUUGUGUAUCAGUGCGGUCAAAAGGCUAUUAAAUACUUAAGAUAUCUCAGCAACAAUAGCUCCUGUCAGUAGUAGUAGUAGUAGUAGUAGUAGUAGUAAUAGGGAAGCCACAGAACGCCUGACUUCUGAUCUUUCUAAAAUUUGUGAUUGGGGCAGAGCAAACUUGGUAUUGUUCAAUGCCUCAAAAACUCAAUUCCUCCAUCUAUCAACUCGACACAACCUUCCAGACAACUAUCCCCUCUUCUUCAAUGACACUCAACUGUCCCCCUCUUCUACACUGAACAUCCUCGGUCUGUCCUUUACUUAUAAUCUGAACUGGAAACUUCACAUCUCAUCUCUAGCUAAAACAGCUUCUAUGAAGUUAGGUGUUCUGAGACGUCUCCGCCAGUUUUUUCUCCACCCCCCCAGCUGCUAACUCUGUACAAGGGCCUUAUCCGUCCAUGUAUGGAGUAUGCUUCACAUGUCUGGGGGGUUCCACUCAUACUGCUCUUCUAGACAGGGUGGAAUCAAAAGCUUUUCGUCUCAUCAACUCCUCUCCUCUAACUGACUGUCUUCAGCCUCUCUCUCACCGCCGCAAUGUUGCAUAUCUAGCUGUCUUCUACCGCUAUUUUCAUGCUAACUGCUCUUCUGAUCUUGCUAACUGCAUGCCUCCCCUCCUCCCGCGGCCUCGCUGCACAACACUUUCUUCUUUCUCUCGCCACUAUUCUGUCCACCUCUCUAAUGCAAGAGUUAACCAGUAUUCUCAAUCAUUCAUCCCUUUCUCUGGUAAACUCUGGAACUCCCUGCCUGCUUCUGUAUUUCCACCUUCCUAUGACUUGAAUUCCUUCAAGAGGAAGGUUUCAAGACACUUAUUCAUCAAUUUUUGACCACUGCUUUGACCCUUUUAUGGGACUGCCAUUUCAGUGGACAUUUUUUUUUUAUUAGAGUUUUGUUGCCCUUGGCCAGUGUCACUCCUACAGAAAAAAAAAAAAAUAGCAGAAGUAUUAUUAUUAGUAAAAGCCUCGCUACACAACACUUUCUUCUUUCUCUCACCACUAUUCUGUCCACCUCCCUAAUGCAAGAGUUAACCAGUAUUCUCAGUCUUUCACCACUAUUCUGUCCACCUCCCUAAUGCAAGAGUUAACCAGUAUUCUCAGUCUUUCACCACUAUUCUGUCCACCUCCCCAAUGCAAGAGUUAACCAGUAUUCUCAGUCUUUCACCCACUUCACUGGCACACUCCUGAACGCCCUGCCUGCUGCUGUGUUUCCCCCUGCCUGUGACUUGAACUCUUUCAGGAGGGAGGCUGCAGCACACUUACCCCUUGUUGUCUGACCUCUCUCUCUGGCACUGCUCUGGAAACUGGCAAUAAGUGGGCAUCUGUGACACUCUUGCAUUGAAACACACACACACACACACACACACAGCGCUAUGACUGCCUGCACUAACCUAACCUAACCUAACCUAACCUAACCUAACCUCACCUGCUGUGUUUAUCAAAGUUUUCUUUAAGUUUGUCAUCAUUUGUACCGUUCCCCGUUUUCUAUUGGGUGUUUGUACCUCAAAGGAAUAAAGAAAUGUGUUUGUUC